AUGUAAGUAGUUUAAUUAAAACAUUGGCUUGUGGAGCCAAGAAUAUAUUUAUAGUAUCUUAUAUA
rnacentral:tRNA from 1 species